rnacentral:rRNA from 1 species
AUGCGAGAGGACUUUUGGUCAUGGCAUUAUGAUCGAAAGGGGAUAUUUACAGUAAGCUCAGCUUAUAGGCUACUCACCGCGACAAAGCAGCAGCGUAAAGACUGGCUUGAACACAACAACGGGCACUCUAAUGGCAAAACGGACAGCCGUUCAUGGGCAAAGCUAUGGGGAGCACAGGUUCCCUCCAAGGUGCAGGUCUUUGCAUGGAGAUUAGCGAAAACUUCCAUACCCACGGGGGUUGUUCGUAAGCACAGAAAUAUGGCCGAAUCUGCUGAAUGCUCGCUAUGUCAUGCUGCCGUAGAUACAUGUCACAUGGCGCGUUGCGUUUGGGCUCUUGCUGACGAAGAAAUCACUGAAACCAUCAUAUCCAACCGAACGGACGAUGCCAAGUUGUGGAUGUUUUGGCUGGUGGAUACCCUACCAACGGCGGCCCUCGCGCGUGUGCUCGUAACGAUGUGGGCGAUUUGGUGGGCGAGACGUCGAGCAAUUCAUGACAGCCAGUUCCAGAGCCCCCUCAGUACUCAUGUCUUUAUAAACAAAUUCAUGGCGGAGCUUGUUCAAAUCCCGGAGAGGGGGGCACGUACCAAAACAGCGGGGCAGCCCGCACAGCCUUCAUGGCUACCGCCGGAAGCUCAUGAAGCAAAGAUAAAUGCGGACGGAGGUUUCUCUAAAAUCAGGGACAAAGGUGCUUCAGCAGUGGUCUGUCGAGACAAGCAUGGCAAGUAUCUAGGGGCUUCUGCUAUCAUUCACGAAGGCCUUCUUGACCCGGCAACUCUCGAGGCGCAAGCAUGUAGUGAGGCGCUAGCACUCGCCACAGACAUCCACGUCCAGUCCGUAUGUGUGGCCUCAGACUGUCUUGAAGUUGUGACAAGGAUAGCAGACGAUUCCCCAUGCAAGUUCUUUUCAAUCCUGCAAGAUAUCAAGCAUCAGCGGAAGGCUUUUAGCGAUGUUAAGUUUGUUCAUGAGAAUAGGAGUUAUAAUGGAGAGGCUCAUGCCUUAGCUAGGGCUGCUGCAUCUCUCCCUCCCGGGCGCCAUGUGUGGCUUUCUUCUUUGCCCGAUAUCAUCUGUAUUCCCAUGUCUUUGAACGUUUAA